rnacentral:rRNA from 1 species
UACGGGGGGGCAAGCGUUGUUCGGAAUUACUGGGCGUAAAGGGCGCGUAGGCGGUGCUCUAAGUUAGAUGUGAAAACUCUGGGCUCAACCCAGAGCCUGCAUCUAAAACUGGAGUGCUAGAGUUCUGGAGGGGGUAGCGGAAUUCCUGGUGUAGCGGUGAAAUGCGUAGAUAUCAGGAGGAACACCGGUGGCGAAGGCGGCUACCUGGACAGAAACUGACGCUGAGGCGCGAAAGCUAGGGGAGCAAACAGG